rnacentral:misc_RNA from 1 species
GAAAUGCGAUAAGUAGUGUGAAUUGCAGAAUUCAGUGAAUCAUCGAAUCUUUGAACGCACAUUGCGCCCCUUGGUAUUCCAUGGGGCAUGCCUGUUCGAGCGUCAUUUGUACCCUCAAGCUUUGCUUGGUGUUGGGCGUCUUGUCGUAUUACGACUCGCCUUAAAUUCAUUGGCAGCCGGCACUUUGGCCUAGGAGCGCAGCACAUUUUGCGAUCGUAGCCCGUUGUACUGGCGUCCAUCAAGAACAUUUACCACGUUUGACCUCGGAUCAGGUAGGGAUACCCGCUGAACUUAA